CAUGGACCACCUCACGGACUGUGAGUAUCAGUUACGGUUGCACUUAGUCACUUGGCAGAUGCUUUUAUCCAAAGCACAUUUGACUAUCGUACAGUUAAUUAAAUAAUGCAAUACAGUGUCAACUGCAAUACAGUGUAAACUGAACACAUUUAGUACGAUAAUACUUAAUAACUACUGAUCAAUGUGUAUUUGAUGACCUUACUAGAGAAGUAUAGUAUUGUAUUUUAGUUCACUGGAAAGACACAGCAUAAAUAAAUUACCUAUGCUAUUUUAUUUUGAUUGUCUAUUUUCAGUUCAUGAAAACCAACUAUCUUUGGACACCAGUGUGGAGAAGAGAUUGCCAGAGGGUCAACACCAUGAACAACCUGACCCCCAUCAGCAGAGCAAUGAAGCAAAAUUGAGAAAGACAUUCGCCAGGGAAUGGGGACGGUGCAAAAUGAUCGUCAUGGACCGAGUAAAAGAGAUUAUAUCACCCGAGCUCUACACAUCAUGUGAGGUAUCAGGACAAGCUGAAUGUGACCCUCACAGACAGGCCAGUGACAGGAACAUGCGAGAGAUGGUUGGGCGGGAAUGGGCCCGUCAUGAAGCCGUCAUCAUGGAGAAAGUCCGAGGCGUUAUAUCAGAGCUCUUUUCACAGUCAGGAGUUCUUUCCUCUGAACCCGAUGAGCACGAGAUUGAAGAAUCAAGAAAAAAGGUGUGCAACUGGCAAACAAAAUCAUCUGGACUUGGAUCAGAAUUACAAGAGGAGGAAAGCGAUUUUGAGUGAUAAACAUUUGACACUGGACUUGAACUGUUUGAAGCAUCUGCUUUUGCCUGGAGGAGCAAAGUACAUUUCACCUUUUCACCAUAUUUAAACCAAAAACAUUGAAUUGUAUCAUAAAGUUAUGUUUAUGUUUUUAGUUUUUGACAAGCUUAAGCAAUGUCGUUUUUAUAUCCAUUUAAUCUCCAGGUUUUUAUACAAUGUUUGUUGAAGGCAUUCUUUGUAGAGUUGGAAUGUUCCAAUUGGUGUUCAUUCUGAGCAGGUGAUCCCUGAAAUUGGCAGAAAAAAGGGUAGUGGUAUAGGUGGACCUUUUAAGCUGGUUGCCUUUAAGAGCGCAGGUGUUGGUGAUUACCUUAUAGUCUGCAGCCCACAGGGUAGUGUGCAGCAACGCAGUCUGCUGGUCGAGCUCGCUGGAAAGCUUGAUUUUCUGUGUGUGGUAUGCAUCUAAUCCCGUGCUGGUUCGUUGAUCAAGCAAGAAGAAAAGUGUGCAACUGGCGAAUAGGGGACAUCAGUUGUGCAGAGUGACAAACAUGUUUUAACUGAACUGCUUUGACUGAACAACUGCUUUUUACCCCAAAUCAGCAACUAGUUCUUGUAUUGUACUGCAAAAUGAUUACCAUUUAGAAAAGGCGUUUUGACCUUUAGUACAGGUCAGGCCAUUUUUUGCUGUUUGUGGAUCUUCGGGGAAACAGAGGGAACAGAAGUCUAUUUGUGAUAUUUUUAUAUUUUUUAAUGAUCAGACUACUGCACGGAUGUUCUGACAGUAUAAUACAUUAAACUAAUACUUGUAACCUAAGUGUGCUUCAUGCUUUAACCCUAACCCAUUGAUGAAUGGGCACUCACUAUCACACGUCUCUACCACCCACCUCCACACACACACACACGCACACACACAGACACAGACACAGACACACAUCGACCUCCACACACUUUCACCUCCACACACACGCACACACAGACACAGACACAGACACACAUCGACCUCCACACACUCUCACCUCCACACACACACACACACACACAGUGAGCAGGUGCAUGAACCAUGACUUGUCUGUAGAUCACAGUAAAUACAUGACUUUAUAGUCAUAAAACUGGAUUGUCAAUUAUGAAGAUUCUUGAUUUGAUUUGAUUAUGAUCACACAAGAACUCUUAAAACAACUAUACUUGCUAAAGGACUAUAUCCCUGAGGGAUAUGUAAAUGUGUGUUCUUGUUGUCAAUAUGCCUUUAAAGCUCCGUGAGGUUUUGUCCUAGAGUCAUAAAAAGAACACCCCCAGAAACAUUUAAUCGUCUACAUAUAUGGCACUUGUGCAUGAAUGUUUUUAAUAAGAGGAAAUAUACAAAAACAUCAAGGCAUGCCAGAGUACCUAAAAAAGUCUAACAGGCAUCAGUCCUAUAGGAGGGUACAGGGAACAAUACAGUGGUACACACUGCCACCAAGCGUUUAAAAUGGGUACUGCAGUCCAAAUUCCAACUAUUGUAGAGAAUCGUUUCUCUUUGCAGGGUGGCUGGGGAAAUCUCAUUAAUAUUCAUGAAGAAAGUACUACACAAUAUAUAUAUAUUGUAUCCUAUACUGUGUUUCAUCUGAAGUACUUCUCUCAUGUGUAGUACUUAGUGUGUUUUUAUGUUUUUAUGUUAUGUGUAGUACUUAUUGUGUUUGUAUGUUUUUAUGUUCACUGUAUGCACCUACACACCAGAACAACCUACUUGGCAAUAAAUACUAUUCUGAUUCUGAUUCUGAUUCUGAU
ensembl:lncRNA